rnacentral:rRNA from 1 species
GGGGGUGGGUAAGCGAAGGUUCCCGGGCCUCCCUUGGAGAAAUACUCCCAAACGAGAUGCCUGCCCCCAUUUGCUCCUUUAUCAGCAUGGUUUGUCUUAGAAGGGAGUCGCAGGCCUCUAUCGUUGAUGACCCGCUGUGUUUUAAUUGGUUGGGGAGGGGUCGGUGCAGGGGUAACGGGCUGCAUAGGCGACCUGCAGGGGCGAGCGCCCUCAUUGGAACUGAAACCCGACCCCUCUCCUAGGGAAGGACUCGUACGUAUUUUUCCCCGGGGAAUCUUGCCCGAUGGACCAAAGCCGGGAGAGUGAACAAGGUUUUCGGAUCGUCAAACUCUGUUGUUAGACAAGAGCAUAUGUUAGAAUAAAUGGUAUUGCCUUUGCCGUAAGGACAAGAAAGACUCCCUUAUUCGCUUGUCACGGCCCGCGACAUUCCACCGGUGGCGGGUUUAGUUUGAUUUUAUGGGGUGUAAAACGAGCUCAGGCGAUUCUUGAGAGCUGAUGAGAUCAGCCCCUGCCCCCCCUAGCAGUAGGGUCAUUGGCUACUGUGAUAACUAUGAAAGCGUGAAGAGCAUAGAGUAACUCCGCGGGGUAGAGGAAAAAACUAGUGUUAUAGAUGGGAGUACCCCCCAUGGUCGAACUCGCUUCUCUGGCUAUCUGUCGACUUGCCUGAUACACGACUGUGCGGUGAGGAACAGAAAGACUACAC